rnacentral:lncRNA from 1 species
AGUGAUACUUCUACAGUAGUUAAAUGUCAGUGUAGUUUGCACAUCAUUACAAAAAUGAUUUUUCAAAAUUCUCCAUUAUCAUAUUCAGAAAUAUUGGUGGUUUUGGCCACUAGAGCAGAACCAACGUGGCUGAAAUGUGGGGUUCCCAGGAUCCCCAAGAUAAUAAAAAGAGAUCUAGGAAACAUAGUCUAAGAAGGAAUUGGAAAGGAAUCAGGUCUGUUUAGGCUGGAGAUGUGGAGAUUAUGGGAAGAUGCAAUAAGGUUUUUAAAUGUGAGAAGAAUGUAACAAGGAAGCAAGGAACAAAUUAUUCUCCCUAUCUACUGCAGGCUUUUAAUGUCCUUUUAUUUAAAAGGAUGUUAUUUCUAUUUAAAUAACAUAUAUUAAAGCAUGGGAGAGUAGCCUGAGACAUCUACGGUAUUCAAAGAAGAGGGAUAGUGAAGCAGGGGACCGGAUUGCCUAGAGAAGAUAAGGAGCAAUGUCUAUCACUGGAAGUCUUUAAGAACUGGUUGAACACGUGUUACUUGAGAAUGAUGUGACUAGAGCCAGUCUUGCCUUGGGACAACCGAAGUCUCUUGAAGUGCUUUCAAGCGUUCUGUGAGAGCCAUGUCUUAAAACAUCUUCCGACAAAAUCCUGGUGUUGCUCCAAAGAUUUUCCAUUACACACCUGUAGUUGAUUUUUUUCUUCAAAUUGAGAUCAGCUGAAGGGUCUUCAUGCAGCUAGUUCACAGGUGUUGCUGGCUUACAGGGAAACCUGAUGUGAUAGAAGAGCUGCAAAGUCCCAAUGAACAGCUGUAACACUGCCUUAAUUUGGUUUCUGUCUGAAUGUAAGGCAGGAGAGAACAGCCUGAGUUCUAGAGCAGGUCCACAUAAAAUAAUUUGCAUAGCUGGGGCUAAACCAAUGAUUCAAACAGACAAAGACAACGAACUGGAUUUUUCUGCUUUAUCUGUGAUUCAUGACCAGGACUGAGCAUGCAUCCAGAUGGAGAAAUUACUCAAAGAAGACAAAAAGGACCCCAGAAAAGGAAACAGAACUGCAUAUCAUCUUCAUUUAAAUAAUGAAAGUCAUAAGAAUUAAUAAGUGUACCAAGCUGUUGGAAUAAAAUUGAGAAAAGAAACA